rnacentral:ribozyme from 1 species
UGAUCGUUUCUCUUUUCCUUUUUUUUUCUCUUUUUCUGAUUUUUAUCGUUCGCCAUGAGCCAAUUUAUCAAAACAGC